rnacentral:lncRNA from 1 species
GCGUGGGCCUCUACUCGAGGACCACUCUCGCCCUCGCCAUCGGAGACCCGCCGCAAGGCAAGACGGAGCGGCAGCCUGCAGCAGGUCCUUUCCACCAUCUACCACGGACUCGGGGCCUGCUUCGGCGCAUUCGUGGCCGGAUGUCUCAUACCGGUCAUGGAGAUCAACAGGACGUUCGUACUCUACAGCGUCGUCGCCCUGGUAGCCUUCUACGUCCAGUUCAGUUUCAGCCUCUUCUGCUCCAAGCGAGAUUCAGCCGACGGCGGACGAAGGCGACGCACAAUGGUCACGUUCUUUCGUCGUUCAUCAAGAAGCGAAUCAAGCGCAUCUACGUAGACGGUGGCAGU